rnacentral:misc_RNA from 1 species
CGCACCUUGCACCUCUUAGUAUUCUGAGAGGUACACCUGUUUGAGUGUCAUUAAUUCUACUCCAUACAAAUUCUUCAUUAGAAAAGUUUGUAAAGGGACUUGGGAGAUUGCAAUGAGAGUUGCUCUCCUUAAAUGAAUUAGCAGUGAUUAUUACUAAAGAUCCUUUGGUUGAUGUGAUAGUUAUCUCCUCUCAACCUUCUUUGAAUACUCAUUUCUGCUUAAAGUUGUCUUUGAGUCUACAAGGACAGUUAUAAAUUUUAAGACAUGAUCUCAAAUCAGGUGGGACUACCCGCUGAACUUAA